rnacentral:misc_RNA from 1 species
UUUCCGUAGGUGAACCUGCGGAAGGAUCAUUAUUGAAACUUCAUCCGGGGCGCCGCGGCCCUCAGCACCGGUGGAAACGCCGUGCUGCGGGGGCCGCGCGUGCACUCGUCCAAACCAAACCCCUGUGAACCUUACGGGAUGGCCCGGGUUUGCGCCCGGUGCCGUUCCGCUUUAUACAAACACUUAUCAAAGAAUGAACUGAAGGCGGUCUGACCGCUGGAUAACAAACUGAAACAACUUUCAACAACGGAUCUCUUGGCUCUC